GACGAACGCUGGCGGCGUGCUUAACACAUGCAAGUCGAACGGAAAGGCCCUGCUUUUGUGGGGUGCUCGAGUGGCGAACGGGUGAGUAACACGUGAGUAACCUGCCCUUGACUUUGGGAUAACUUCAGGAAACUGGGGCUAAUACCGGAUAGGAGCUCCUGCUGCAUGGUGGGGGGUGGAAAGUUUCGGCGGUUGGGGCUGGACUCGCGGCUUAUCAGCUUGUUGGUGGGGUAGUGGCUUACCAAGGCUUUGACGGGUAGCCGGCCUGAGGGGGUGACCGGCCACAUUGGGACUGAGAUAGGGCCCAGACUCCUACGGGAGGCAGCAGUGGGGAAUAUUGCACAAUGGGCGGAAGCCCGAUGCAGCAACGCCGCGUGCGGGAUGACGGCCUUCGGGUUGUAAACCGCUUUCGCCUGUGACGAAGCGUGAGUGACGGUAAUGGGUAAAGAAGCACCGGCUAACUACGUG
rnacentral:rRNA from 1 species